rnacentral:rRNA from 2 species
GCCAGCAGCCGCGGUAAUUCCAGCUCCAAUAGCAUAUAUUAAAGUUGUUGCAGUUAAAAAGCUCGUAGUUGGAUGUCGGGUCGACGCGUGAGGUCUGCCGCGAGGCAUGUACUUUGCCGUUGUCCUUCUUCCCGGCGGCCCCGUCUGCUCUUCAUUGCAGUGGACUGGGGACCUCGGGACGUUUACUGUGAAAAAAUUAGAGUGUUCAAAGCAGGCAUUUUUGCUUGAAUACAUUAGCAUGGAAUAAUGGAAGAGGACUUGGGUCCUAUUUUGUUGGUUUCCUGGACCGAAGUAAUGAUCGAUAGGGACAGUCGGGGGCAUUCGUAUUCUAUUGUCAGAGGUGAAAUUCUUGGAUUUAUGGAAGACGAACAAGUGCGAAAGCAUUUGCCAAGGAUGUUUUCAUUAAUCAAGAACGAAAGUUAGGGGUUCGAAGACGAUCAGAUACCGUCCUAGUCCUAACCGUAAACUAUGCCGACUAGGGAUCGGCGGGGUUCACUAUUGUCUCCGUCGGCACCUUAUGAGAAAUCAAAGUUUUUGGGUUCCGGGGGGAGUAUGGUCGCAAGGCUGAAACUUAAAGGAAUUGACGG